UCCUCUCUCUCUGUUGUGUUCUGCCUCUUUCUCUCUCUACAAUAGACCCACCCCUCCAUGUAUCCACUGUGUUCUGUUCUACUCUUUGAACUCAAAUUCAUUAGCCCCAAGGUUAGGGCAAAUCUGGGAACAAGAUCGUCGAUUUCUACCUCAAAAACCCUUGUGCUCGCCUCACCCUUCUCUACUCUCAAGGUAAUGCUGCUGAUCUAGGCCAGCUUUACGAGCUCUUUGUUCAGCUCAAAGCCAAUCUCAGAGUCAAUCUCAUUGGGGUUUGAGCUAGGAAGAGAUCAACCUCAACUAAGAGCAACAAGUCUGCAUAAAGGGUUUGGAAGGACAAAGUAAUGGCUAUGGUACUUGGCAUUUGAAGAAUGGCACACUUGGAUUUGAAGAAUGACACUCGUUAUCUGUUUGUUAUCAGUUUGGUUUGGUAUCUGCUGUUGUGAUUUGCUGCUGUGAAUUGGGACGGAUGUGCUCAACUAAGGUGCCUUGGGAUUGAUUGUUGAAGGAUUCAGUAGGAGGAGAUGAAUUUUGCCAACUGUUUUUUGCUCUCCUUUGUGAUUUUUCUCUGCUUUUUGGUUUGUCUUUCUCAAAUUGUCUUUUGCUCUGCUUUGAAUUAUUAGUUCCUUAAUGUUUGCAGGUGAGAUGGGCUGGAAUUAUGGUUGUUUUUACUUGUUAUAUGAUCUGGUGAGGAGCAUUGGGUUGUGUUGAAGGAACCAUUCAACUAGAAGUGAUCAAGUGGGGGAUUUUUAUUGGGUGAUACUAGCUGGGGUUUUUUUUUUUUUUUUGGUGGGUGAUUUUCUAGCUUAGCUAGGUGGAUUGAGUACUUGAGUUGGCUUUGCUGGUUUGUAUUGUAUAGCCUUGGUUUGUUCUUUGUUUGUUUUUCAUUUUCUUUGUUGGCUUCUCACCAACUUGUGAGGCUUGUGCUACCAUAUAAUUGGCUAUGCUUUUUAGUGUCAAUCUAAUUGGGAUUGUGAAGUUAUGUUU